ensembl:lncRNA
CUUGAUUUUGUUUUCUUUUUGAGGUAGAGCUACUGAGUUACAAUGGCUUUAUAUAAAAGCAAAGAAGCCUAAGUAAACGUUUGUUAGCCGGCGUAUUUGUUUGAAGUAGGGAUGUGUUGUGUUACAGUGCUAGUGUGUGUGAGUUAGGAGGAUGUUUUUAUUAGUGUGUGUGUGUGUGUGUGUGUGGUAGGGAGGUGUUUUGUGCUCAGACAGGUGUGUAAUAGGUGGAUGAAAGCAUCAUGUUACACACACCUUUACACACAAACACUGCUGACCUGAAAGAGCGAGAGAGAGAGAGAGAGAGAGAGAGGAUGCAUAUCACACAUUGAGCUGUAGUGAAUAAGGGAGGAGCAGAUGUGCUGAUAGAGAGAUGCUCUUAGUAGAAUUGUUAUUUCAGAUUGAUGUGUUGAAUAAAUAAAGUGCUUUAUCCUUCCCUCUCUCGCUCUUUCCAUCCAGCCGAUGAGUGGUAUCAAUCUCUCCCCCAGCGUAAUGAAAUACCCUCUCCCAUCAUUUCACACAAACAUACACACACGUCUCUUUUGGUUCAAGUUCAAUCUGAUUAUGGUCUGUCUAAAUAUUUUGCCCCACAGAGAUAUAAUAUGAAGAUGUCUGUCCUGAGGAGCCAGAGAGAGAGAGAAAGAGAGCGCAUGAAGAAGGGAGGAGUAAUGAUGCUUGACAGUUGUGCUGCGGUUUGGCGUGGAGUUCACAGCGUUGACGGAGGCCCAGGGGAAGAGCUCUAUUCACAGUGAAGCGAGAUGGACACUGUUGUGCUGGAUGAGGGAACAGCGGGAGGACUGAACUCAGAAGCUGUGUGAAUGGUUGCCAGGCCAAAGUUUAGUGCUGGUGUGUUGCAGAAUGAAUAUGAGUGUUGGGUGAGUAUCAAUGUGUUUUAGUGUCUGAAAACCAAAAAAAGGGUGUCUUUGUAGAGGUAGGAAGCAAGUCCAAUUUCAAUGUUCACUCAACAUCCUAUAUGCUAAGAUUCCUGCAUCUGGUCAGAUUUUGAUAUUUGGCUGUGAUAUCCCACAAUCCUUUUAGUGUGGUUUUGCAUUUGGUGGAAAUAAUUAAAAUGGCGUUUGAUGGAGCGGUUAAAAGGAGUAGAUUUAUUUAUCAUUUCUGUUAACUUAUGACUCCAUUUAUACUGAGAAAUAAGCA